rnacentral:rRNA from 1 species
CCUACGGGAGGCAGCAGUGGGGAAUAUUGGGCAAUGGAGGCAACUCUGACCCAGCAACGCCGCGUGAAUGAUGAAGGUCUUCGGAUUGUAAAGUUCUUUUCUUAGGGAAGAAGAAAGUGACGGUACCUUAGGAAUAAGCCUCGGCUAACUACGUGCCAGCAGCCGCGGUAAUACGUAGGAGGCAAGCGUUAUCCGGAAUGACUGGGCGUAAAGGGUGCGUAGGUGGUUUGACAAGUUAGUAGCGCAAAUCCGGAGCUCAACUUCGGAACUACUACUAACACUGUUGGACUUGAGUGCAGAAGAGGCAAUCGGAAUAAGUAAAGUAGCGGUGGAAUGCGUAGAUAUUAGGAGGAACACCAGUGGCGAAGGCAGAUUGCUAGACUGUAACUGACACUGAGGCACGAGAGCGUGGGGAGCAAACAGGAUUAGAUACCCCGGUAGUC